rnacentral:rRNA from 1 species
UACAGAGGAUGCAAGCGUUAUCCGGAAUGAUUGGGCGUAAAGCGUCUGUAGGUGGCUUUUUAAGUCCGCCGUCAAAUCCCAGGGCUCAACUCUGGACAGGCGGUGGAAACUACCAAGCUGGAGUACGGUAGGGGCAGAGGGAAUUUCCGGUGGAGCGGUGAAAUGCGUAGAUAUACGGAGGAACACCAGGGGCGAAGGCGGAUCGCUGGGCCAACACUGACGCUGAUGUGCGAAAGCUAGGGGAGCAAACGGG